UUGAUUGAUUCAAUCAUCUACUCGGACGCAGAGAUGCAGGGUUUGUGUGGUCCGCCGGGGGCCCCGACGCCCGAAGGCCGGGUCGCCCCCGAGGCAACUGGGUCGGAUAACAUGGGGUUGGAGGUCGGGCCCGGAGGCCCUUCGCUCGGUAAUGAUCCCUCCGCAGGUUCACCUACGGAGA
rnacentral:misc_RNA from 1 species